rnacentral:rRNA from 1 species
UUAGUAACUGCGAGUGAAGAGGGAAAAGCUCAAAUUUAAAAUCUGGCAGUGUUUCACUGUCCGAGUUGUAACCUAGAGAAGUGUAACCUGCACUGGACCGUGUACAAGUCUCCUGGAAUGGAGCAUCACAGAGGGUGAGAAUCCCGUCUUUGACAUGGACUGCCAGUGCAUUGUGGUURUGCUCUCAACGAGUCGAGUUGUUUGGGAAUGCAGCUCUAAAUGGGUGGUAAAUUCCAUCUAAAGCUAAAUAUUGGCGAGAGACCGAUAGCGAACAAGUACCGUGAGGGAAAGAUGAAAAGAACUUUGGAAAGAGAGUUAAACAGUAUGUGAAAUUGUUGAAAGGGAAACAUUUGAAGUCAGUCGCGUUGGCUGGGGAUCAACCUGACUUUUUGUUAGGUGUACUUCCUGGUUGACGGGUCAACAUCAGUUUUGACUGCCAGAAAAAGGCUAAGGGAAUGUGGCACCUUUGGGUGUGUUAUAGCUCUUGGUCGUAUGUGGUGGUUGGGACUGAGGAAAGCAGUGUGCCGAAAGGCCGGGUUUCGACCACGUUCACACUGAGGAUGUUGGCAUAAUGGCUUUAAGUGACCCGUCUUGAAACACGGACCAAGGAGUCUAACAUGCAUGCGAGUGUUUGGGUGGAAAACCCUUACGCGUAAUGAAAGUGAAAGUUGAGAUCCCUGUCGUGGGGAGCAUCGACGCCCGGACCAGAACUUUUGGGACGGAUCUGCGGUAGAGCAAGUAUGUUGGGACCCGAAAGAUGGUGAACUAUGCCUGAAUAGGGUGAAGCCAGAGGAAACUCUGGUGGAGGCUCGUAGCGAUUCUGACGUGCAAAUCGAUCGUCGAAUUUGGGAUAGGGGCGAAAACAAUCG